GCUGGCUGUGGUGGUGCACACCUGUAAUCCUAGCUACUUGGGAGGCUGAGGCAGGAGGAUCACGAGUUUGAGGUCAGCCUCAGCAAUUUAUCGAGAGAAAGCCUGACUCAA
rnacentral:sRNA from 1 species